UUCAAGGGAUCGCCGUGAAGAAGUCAGUAUUUUUGCGAGAUGCGUCUCCACCCAAAGGUCCUAGGUACCUUUGAGCAAUUGUGAAAGCCAUGACCCCUCACCCCGAAAUGGCCUGUGCUCAUGCAUAUAGAAUCUUACAGUCACAGGGGUUAUGGAUCCUAUUUAGAGCCUAUAUUGAGAUCUUGAGGAGUCAGUAGUUCUUUAGAAUCCCUGUUCCAGGCCCAUUUGUUCCUGAGCAGUGUUAUGUGAACAGUGUCCUCUGUCUUCUGUGGCUCUGUGUCCUGGCUGAGAAAGGCAGCGCUGCCUUCAGAGAACUGGGCUCAUUGCUGGGAGUCAGAGCCUUGUCUGCUCACUGUGCCCCACGUGGCUUAGACGGUACCGGCUACAGCCCUUAUCCCGACUUCACAGGUGUGAGCGCAGAGGCUGAGUCACCUGCCCAAAGCAGCACAGUGACUCCAGAUGGGUGGGUGUUGUCAGAGAAUUGCUCAUAGGAAGCUACAGUUCCUUCUCCACAGUCUCCCCUUCUAGAUGCUGAUCUUUCCAGAUGACAGGCUUCCUAAAAACAAACCACUGACUGAACCGUGUGAACGGCACGUCAUCACCACAGUCACCUCUGAGCACAUCUGGCAGGGUCGCUGCUGUGGGGCCUUAUAUCCAGGUUCCCAGUGCCGGAAGCUUUCCUGUCCUGGGGGACCCCAUAAAGCCCCAGUCUCUCAGUAUUGCCUCAAAUGCUGCUCAUGGAAGAUCUAAAUCU
rnacentral:sRNA from 1 species